rnacentral:rRNA from 1 species
GAUGAACGCUGGCGGCGUGCCUAAUACAUGCAAGUCGAGCGAACAGACGAGGAGCUUGCUCCUCUGACGUUAGCGGCGGACGGGUGAGUAACACGUGGAUAACCUACCUAUAAGACUGGGAUAACUUCGGGAAACCGGAGCUAAUACCGGAUAAUAUAUUGAACCGCAUGGUUCAAUAGUGAAAGACGGUUUUGCUGUCACUUAUAGUUGGAUCCGCGCCGCAUUAGCUAGUUGGUAAGGUAACGGCUUACCAAGGCAACGAUGCGUAGCCGACCUGAGAGGGUGAUCGGCCACACUGGAACUGAGACACGGUCCAGACUCCUACGGGAGGCAGCAGUAGGGAAUCUUCCGCAAUGGGCGAAAGCCUGACGGAGCAACGCCGCGUGAGUGAUGAAGGUCUUCGGAUCUUAAAACUCUGUUAUUAGGGAAGAACAAAUGUGUAAGUAACUAUGCACGUCUUGACGGUACCUAAUCAGAAAGCCACGGCUAACUACGUG